rnacentral:rRNA from 1 species
UACGAAGGGGGCUAGCGUUGCUCGGAAUCACUGGGCGUAAAGCGCACGUAGGCGGAUCUUUAAGUCAGGGGUGAAAUCCCAAGGCUCAACCUUGGAACUGCCUUUGAUACUGGGGAUCUCGAGUCCGGAAGAGGUGAGUGGAACUGCGAGUGUAGAGGUGAAAUUCGUAGAUAUUCGCAAGAACACCAGUGGCGAAGGCGGCUCACUGGUCCGGAACUGACGCUGAGGUGCGAAAGCGUGGGGAGCAAACAGG